GCUCAUCACCAUUCCAGAUAGAAUAUACCCGAUCUCGUCUGAUCUCGGAAGUCAAGCAAUCUCGGGCUUGGUUAGUACUUGGAUGGGUGACCGCUUGGGAAUACCAAGUGUAAUAAGCA
rfam:Ciona savignyi cont_55141, whole genome shotgun sequence.